CUUUAGAUAUUCAAAGAGGGAAGAUGCAACUAACGAUCUUAACACAACAAUUGAGGUCAUUGCUUAUGCAUAACAAGUACUUUUAUUGGGACACUUUAGUGUGCUAGAAUUUCUUUUGCUGUCUUAGUUGCUUACAUUUGCUGUUUGCAAACUGGUGAUCUGGAGGGAAUUGAAAAGUAUAGAAAAAGGACUGUCAAGGUAAUCUUUGAUAUUGUUAUUUUAUUGGAAAUUACCAUGAGGAUCUUAUUGAAUAUGAUGCAAUCAGCAUGAAGUCAGCAUGCUGAUUGUCUGUUUUCUUCAUAUGUAACAUAGAGUUUCUUUAAAUAUAUUUUGAACUUUCAAAAGUGAUAAGGUAAAAUGAGGAUCUUAUUGAUUAUGAUGUAAUCAACAUGAAGUUAGCAUGCAAUGCGCAGCUCUUUGCAAAAGUGACAAGGUGUUUGCGGUUGCCUCAGAAGACAUGGAUACUUUAGCUUUUGGGGCACUGAGGUUCUUGAAGAGCUAAGACUCACUAUGGAUCAAUUCAUUGAUUUGUGUAUUCUCUCUGAUGUGAUUAUUGUGAUAUCAUUAAAGGUACGUAACUCGGCCAAUUCGUGAGACUUGAGAUUUUUUAUGCAAGGAGUGAGCUUUGUUAGGAUGUAGCUUGCCUUGCUAAUUUGUAAAUUAAAAGUCAUAUGGAGAACAACAAAUGGAAAACAUAUGAUUUAAUGUAUAUGGAGAACAGUA